rnacentral:lncRNA from 1 species
ACAGAGAGUUUAUUUUUAAGAACUUAAGCAGUUUUAUUCAGUUAGGCUUUCUUUUCUGAUUGUUACUUGAAAAACUGUGUGGUGGCAGAUGUUUUCUACAAGCAGGCAGUGGUGGUCUCUGCUAUGUCCGUAUUUGCUCAAGUUGCUGCAGCAAUAGCCUGAAUUUUUUCUAAUGAUUUUUAGUAUAGAAAAAGUAAAAAUUUCUGAAAUAGCUUAAAGGACCUGGUCUUAAAUGCUCAUCUUUCACUGGCUCAUUAUUUAGAAAUGUAAAUCAGAUCUUGGGAGGCUUCUUUUAGAAUGAGCUCCCAUUUCUUCUUUCCUGAGCAAUAAUUCAUUUAUAGCGAGAAGAGCAGUCUAAGUAAAUGAUUAUGCUCUGUAACCAAAGGACUCCCCAUAAAUAUUAGACUUGCUCUGCAAAACCUUAUGAAUGGGUCCAUUGUGCUCAUCAGAAAUACUGCUGCGUUUAAACCAAAGCCUCUGCCUGGGCUUCUGUACAAUGUGCACUCCAGCCAUGUUCGACUCCAUCCUGGCUUCUAACCUAUUUUCCUGUCUCCCUGUUUUUUCUUACUACAGUCUGCAUCAUGACCUUGAAAUGUCCUUGUGAAGGCCAUUUUGCUGGGGCAUUUGGUUGUUCUGAAAUAGCCUCGUUUGCUGUCUGGAAGUGCGUGUAUUGGUAAAAUACUGGUCUAUUCAGUGUAGCCUAAACACUAAGGUGGGCUGAUACUUGCCAGACUAGCUGCAAGAUGUAUUUCAGAAGUGCAAAAAUCAGUCAGUUCUUAUGACUGCCACAGAUCUGAUAUUUUUAAAUAGCUUAAAAGCAAGGCUGGCUUCGUAAAGGUGAGCAAAAAAGAAAAGUAUGCUGAUUUUUUUUCUGGAAAAAAUAAUAGGUGUUUAGUCUCAUGGCUGGCUGUUGGCAGCAGGGUUAACCUGUGGAUCUCUUGUCCUCAGCUUGCUCAUGAACCCCUUUUGAUGGAAUUAAUAGCAGGUUCAAGUGGGAGGAAGGACAGGGAGCUGUGCUGCACGAAGGAAAAUCCUCACAAGGAUCAGGCAAUCCCAAAUUGUGCCGAGAAGGUGACAACCCUCUUCUGCCUGGUCCGGACCCUUCAGAAGGCCUCGGCAGGGCGAGGGGGUUUGAAAACCCUGUGGCAGAGACGCGGCUGCUCUGGACCAUAG